UCACAACUGUUAUCAGAUGGUAGACUGCUGCGAACAGGGAGGGUCGCUGACGUCUGAGGCCAUUGCAGGGGACGGGGGAGAGGACUAUUCUAGAAAGAUCGCCAGUUCAUUUUUCUCCAUAUUUCCCUUGGGUACUUCACUGUUGACUGCAGGUGCGCUGCACACGCCCUAUAAACGGCUGAAGCAGUCUGGCCAAGCAUUUCUACCUGAAAAGCUUAGUUUUCUCUCCGGAAUAUUUACAACAAAAAGAAAGUGUUCUCUUUCACCAUUGAGCAUAUUUGCGAUUGUGUUGUCGUCUGUGUAUGCCUCCCGUAUUGUGCAGGACAGUCGUCUUCCAGCAACGGACAAAGGCGGACGUGGCCCUGACAGCCGGUGUUUGUCGUCUUCGUCGAUCGACCUGUCACAAGCCGCUUUGGACUGCACAACAACAUUGACAUCGUAAAUAAUGGAGAGACCAGCAGCAAUCAAUCAGCAGCCAGCUUAUACGACCCCCCAGUGGGGGUACCAACCACCUGUGGUGACGCAGCCGCAAAUGUCGUCCACCAACAACACGACAGUCGUCAUCAACCAGCAGCCCACUGGACCUGGGUACCAACCGCCGCGCCCAUGGAGCACUGGCAUCUGCGGCUGUUGCGACGACAUCGGAGUGUGUUGUUGUGUGUCGUGGUGUACACCUUGCGCUGCCGGCCAGCUGACCACGGACAUGGGAGAGCACUGCUGCGUCCCUUGCUGCGUGCCGGGCUGGCUUAUCGUCCUUAGAACAAAGCUGCGAACACAACACAAUAUUCAGGGAGGAGUCAUGGACGACUGUUGCACUGUCGUCCUGCUGCUACCACUGCGUCCUCUGUCAGAUGAUGAGGGAGGUGAAAAUGGUGAGAAGGGUAAUUCUCUGAGCUGUGGAGCCAAAGGCCAGCCUUCCAGCCGGAGGCAGAGAACAAGUAUUUGGAUCAUCAGCAUUCAACUUUGUAAUUAAAUAAUUGAGAGCUUAAGUUGAAGGUGGAGUGCAGGUUUACUAAGUUUAAAGUUUAUUGUACUGUUGGUUUAUAGUUUUCUUGUUCUUGCUUAUCAGCAGGAUUUAAAAAUUUUUGAAUUUACAUAAGAGAAAUCCGUAGGAUGUAGAAAAAUGAAAUGUUAAGUGAAACAAGAAAACAUAUACUAGUUCUCACUAGAAGUUGAUUCUUAUUUUCUCCUCAUUGUGAUUUUUACGACAUCCUAUAUCUACUUGUGUAAAGUGAAAAAAGACGAUUUCUACUACAACAUGUCCUUCAAAUACUGAAACACAUGCAUGAAGUAGAUCAAUUGAAAUCAAGGGUGGAAAUGUGUUGUGACAUCAAAUUUCUUUUAAAUAAAUUGAAUAUGAAAGUCAAGUUUGUGUCAAUAUUAUCAUUAUAUAUAUAAAGUUAUUUAGCUGUAAAUGUGACUUCAAUUUAUGAUUUUGAAAAGCUUUAAAUGGGAGAAGUGACACUUUAUAUUUAAAUAAACACUAACAUCUUGGUCAGUAUUAUUUGUUACUUGAAACUGUUGUCAUGAAACAUAAUUGUGGAUGAGAUUUAUUGUUGUUUUCAUCGAAAAACAAAUGAGCAAAUCGUUCA